rnacentral:rRNA from 1 species
GAUGAACGCUGGCGGCGUGCCUAAUACAUGCAAGUCGAGCGAACAGACGAGGAGCUUGCUCCUCUGACGUUAGCGGCGGCCGGGUGAGUAACACGUGGAUAACCUACCUAUAAGACUGGGAUAACUUCGGGAAACCGGAGCUAAUACCGGAUAAUAUAUUGAACCGCAUGGUUCAAUAGUGAAAGACGGUUUUGCUGUCACUUAUAGAUGGAUCCGCGCCGCAUUAGCUAGUUGGUAAGGUAACGGCUUACCAAGGCAACGAUGCGUAGCCGACCUGAGAGGGUGAUCGGCCACACUGGAACUGAGACACGGUCCAGACUCCUACGGGAGGCAGCAGUAGGGAAUCUUCCGCAAUGGGCGAAAGCUUGACGGAGCAACGCCGCGUGAGUGAUGAAGGUCUUCGGAUCGUAAAACUCUGUUAUUAGGGAAGAACAAAUGUGUAAGUAACUAUGCACGUCUUGACGGUACCUAAUCAGAAAGCCACGGCUAACUACGUG